GCGCGAAAGCCUUACAAUGCUGGCAACAGCGAUAAGGGAACCUCGAGUGCCAGGUUACAAAUCUGGCUGUCGAGAUGCCUAAAAAGCAUUUCAUAGCAAGGGCCGGGCAAGACCGGUGCCAGCCGCCGCGGUAACACCGGCGGCUCGAGUGGUAACCGUUAUUAUUGGGUCUAAAGGGUCUGUAGCCGGCCGGAUAAGUCUCUUGAGAAAUCUGGCAGCUUAACUGUCAGGCUUUCAGGAGAUACUGUCUGGCUCGAGGCCGGGAGAGGUGAGAGGUACUUCAGGGGUAGGGGUGAAAUCUUGUAAUCCUUGAAGGACCACCAGUGGCGAAGGCGUCUCACCAGAACGGACCUGACGGCAAGGGACGAAAGCUAGGGGCACGAACCG
rnacentral:rRNA from 1 species